GGUGUGUUGGUUGUGGAAGGAGUAUGCACUGCAGCAACUCACUUGGGGCCAAAUCAAAGGGCCAAGGUGAAGGAUAAGGAGAAACAUGAGGUUCUUUUCCUUCAUAUUCUCCACCUUUCAACUUCCCGCAAUGACCUAUGGAAAAAAGCAAACGAAACCGGCCGUCGGACCUAGCCGCGCCAGACCUUCGCAACCGGCGGCGCCGAUCCAAACCAACGACUCUCACGUCGUCCUCCGUCUCAAUCUCCUAAACAAAACCAAUAACGAACCUAACCACUCCACCAUACCAAAAAGAUAAUGCUCGUCACGACGGACGAAACCACAGUUGAAUAACGACGGUGUACGGCGUGACCAAGGAUUACACGGUCACAUUUCUACAAGACGAGAUUCACAUCACCGUCACAAAUGAAUCAAAUAUAAAUAUGAAAAGACGGGAGGCCUACCGGUGACGUUGAUGGUGCAGCCGUCGGCGACGGUCGAAUUCGAUACUCAAGCGAUCUUUGCUCGAUCCACUUCUCUGUUCUGAUUCACUUGUUCUACUCUUCUUCUUUCACAUUUCUGUUAUGGAUUGAAGGAAUGAUAGCGCGAGAUUUCGGAAUUGCGGUGGUUUCCCGGAAAUUGGGGAAGAUUCUUGCGGUGCGGGAAGGAUGAGUUCUUACUGUGAUGAUGGAGGUUGUUGCAGGUGAGGUUGAAGGAGAAAGAAGAAGAGGGAUUCUGGAAAAAGAAAAAAUGUCGAGAGAGACCCCAUCUUCACUAUUACCGCUUGUAUUUAUACCCGGUUCUUAUAUUGGAUACGAGUUCAGUUUUAAUUUGAGCUUAAACUCCUUUGUGUUUUGAUUUUUUUCGAGUCGUUUUUGUCUUUGCAGCUUGGUCAAGUUGCGCUUUGAACUGCUGUUGUUACAUUUCACGUAUGCAGCUUGCGGCUUAUUGCGCUUUGGAUUUCACUUCAUUUCCUUUUGUGUUUCACUUCUCAUGUUGCCGUUUGGUUUAAGCUGUUGUGUUUUGAUUUCUGCUGCAACUUUCCUUUGUGAGGUCCGUUUCGAAGCCUUCUUUACUGCAGUUGAAGCUGCAGUGUUGCCAUCGCAGCUGGCUUGGCUUUGCAGUAGUUGGUUGGCUUCACGUUUGGAUAUUUGGCGGCUUGCAGCUGGUUUAAUUGCUUUGGCUUGUGCAUAAGUUGCGUUUUUUAGUGUACCAGCUUCAACUUCUGUAGUUUCGGCUUGCGCAGUAGCUGUUGUUUACAUUCUUAAGUUGUAAUCGAAGGAGAAGGGCGAUCCAAAAUGCAGCGGAAUUUAAAUUUUCUCCUUUAAUGAUCCUUACGAAUGAACAUGAUCAGUGAUAGAAUCGUUACCUCUUUUGGCGAAUGAAACCUUUGAUGCAGAUCUACGGAGCGAUCACGAAUUUUGAACGAUGACAACACCUCUACUCAGUCCACACGAACGGAUUCCUUCAAUCUCAGUGCUAGCUCCUACGAAUGAAGACUUUGAGUGAGAAAGAGAGAGAGAAACGAAAUUGCAAGUGCUAAUGCUUUUGCACAAGGGUUUUAUUUAUAGAAUCACUUGUGUGGGCUAUAAACUAAAAAACCCACUUAAGUGUAUGUGACUCAUAUCUCAUAACAUGCCAAAAUCACUUAAGCGCGUGGUACCUUACCAUAUUUUGUAUUCUACUUAAGUACAUCGUACCUUACGAUGUUUUAUAAUUCACUUAAGUGCAUCGUACCUUACGAUGUUCCUUAGUUACUCUAUUUCUCAUCAAUCCGUCAUUUGUGUGUGACCCUGUAUGUUUUCGCGGCAUUGACAAUUAUAUUAAAUCACACAUUUAACAUAAUAAACAGUGAGCGGUAUCUAGCAA